GGGUUGUGAGGUUAAGCGACUAAGCGUACACGGUGGAUGCCCUGGCAGUCAGAGGCGAUGAAGGGCGUGCUAAUCUGCGAUAAGCGCCGGUAAGGUGAUAUGAACCGUUAUAACCGGCGAUACCCGAAUGGGGAAACCCAGUGUGAUUCGUCACACUAUCAUUAACUGAAUCCAUAGGUUAAUGAGGCGAACCGGGGGAACUGAAACAUCUAAGUACCCCGAGGAAAAGAAAUCAACCGAGAUUCCCCCAGUAGCGGCGAGCGAACGGGGAGGAGCCCAGAGCCUGAAUCAGCAUGUGUGUUAGUGGAAGCGUCUGGAAAGGCGCGCGAUACAGGGUGACAGCCCCGUACACAAAAGCGCAUGUGCUGUGAGCUCGAUGAGUAGGGCGGGACACGUGGUAUCCUGUCUGAAUAUGGGGGGACCAUCCUCCAAGGCUAAAUACUCCUGACUGACCGAUAGUGAACCAGUACCGUGAGGGAAAGGCGAAAAGAACCCCGGCGAGGGGAGUGAAAAAGAACCUGAAACCGUGUACGUACAAGCAGUGGGAGCACAGGUUUACCUGUGUGACUGCGUACCUUUUGUAUAAUGGGUCAGCGACUUAUAUUCUGUAGCAAGGUUAACCGUAUAGGGGAGCCGGAGGGAAACCGAGUCUUAACCGGGCGUUAAGUUGCAGGGUAUAGACCCGAAACCCGGUGAUCUAGCCAUGGGCAGGUUGAAGGUUGGGUAACACUAACUGGAGGACCGAACCGACUAAUGUUGAAAAAUUAGCGGAUGACCUGUGGCUGGGGGUGAAAGGCCAAUCAAACCGGGAGAUAGCUGGUUCUCCCCGAAAGCUAUUUAGGUAGCGCCUCGUGAAUUCAUCUCCGGGGGUAGAGCACUGUUUCGGCUAGGGGGCCAUCCCGGCUUACCAACCCGAUGCAAACUGCGAAUACCGGAGAAUGUUAUCACGGGAGACACACGGCGGGUGCUAACGUCCGUCGUGAAGAGGGAAACAACCCAGACCGCCAGCUAAGGUCCCAAAGUCAUGGUUAAGUGGGAAACGAUGUGGGAAGGCCCAGACAGCCAGGAUGUUGGCUUAGAAGCAGCCAUCAUUUAAAGAAAGCGUAAUAGCUCACUGGUCGAGUCGGCCUGCGCGGAAGAUGUAACGGGGCUAAACCAUGCACCGAAGCUGCGGCAGCGAACGUAUCACUUAAAGCGAUUCAGCGGGUUACGAUUGACGGAGCGAAGCGACGUCAAAGCGUAUACAAAGUCGAGUCGGUUUAAGGAUACGUUCGUUGGGUAGGGGAGCGUUCUGUAAGCCUG
rnacentral:rRNA from 2 species